AAAUGCUUUGCUUUUUUAUUUUUAUCACAGUUUUAUGAGCUAAAUCUUGUAAUUACCCCAUUUACGAAGGAGGAAACUGAGGCUCAGAGAGAUUAAGAUCACAGGGCUAGUAAGAGGUAGAGAUGAGGAUCCUGAAGGCAGAGGUGUCUGAACCUAGAGUACUACUUACACCCCACCUGCCACUGCCCCAAAGGUCCUGCAAACAAUACUUUCAGCUCUUGUGGGGACGCCAUGUUCGUUAAUAGUUUCUAGACAAUUCAAGGCCUUUAGACAUAACGUUAAAUCCUGUAUUCCCACAAUGAGUGAGGAGCUGUGCCAAGUCCUGGGAGAGACAUGAUGUUCCCUCUCACUGCCUCGAUCUUCUCAUUUCCUUAUACUUGUUCGUAAAAAUCAAAUGGAAAUUUAUGAAUUAUUUAGUGAACAACCUGGCUUUAUAAAGAACAUAUGCAGCCUGCUGGUUUCAUAGAUUUUCCAGACUGUAAUAGAAUCAUUUUAGCUUACUUACUUUUUUCUAUUUCAGUGGAUAAAAGUGACCAAAUUGAAACUCAGCCCUCGUCUUUGUCUCCUGGUUGCAACUAUGGCAAGUAUACCUUCAGACGUGAUUCAUCAGAAAAGGCACAUCCAACUUCGUUUCAAUAAUCAUCUGAGCAACUAUCAAAGAUACAUUACCAUUAGAAGGAGAGACAACCCUAAAGGGGAAUUAGGGGUCAUGGGUUUGAACGGCGUUUUGACAGUGGCUGCUGUUCUCCUACUUGUCAGGGAAGUUUCCUCAGGAUUCUAAACAAUCUUCUCUGAAUAUCAACCUGUCUGGUGGGGCAAGUUAUCCUCAACAGUCUAUGUGGAAUGGACUGCUAAAAGCCGGGGGCUGAGGAGCUGUCACAAACAUUCAGCUGGAAGGGACAUUUCCCAUACCAGGAAAUCCUUAGUAAAUGGUUAACAGCAAGAACGGUGCUAUGGAAUGAAUUGUAUCCCCCCAAAAUUCAUCUAUUGAAGCUCUAACCUCAAAUGUGAUAGUGUUUGGAGAUGGGGCCUUUGGGAAAUAGUUAGGUUUAGAUGAGGUCACGAAGGUGGGACCCUCAUAAUGGGAUUAGUGUCCUUUUGGGAAGAAGAAUCAGAAAGCUCUCUUGCUCUCUCUCUGCAACAUAAGGACACAGCAGUAAGGUGGCCGUCUGUAAGCCAGGAAGAGAGCUUGCACCAGAAACCAAUCUUGUUGGCACCUUGGUCUUGGACUUCCAGCCUUCAGAACUGUG
rnacentral:lncRNA from 1 species